GGUAUAUGGCUCAAUUGGUAGAGUAUCCGCUUAGCAUGCGGGAGGUCCUGGGUUCGAUUCCCAGUGUAUCC
rnacentral:ncRNA from 16 species